UCCAGUUGAUGGGACAAAUGACAAGACCUCCA
rnacentral:piRNA from 1 species